rnacentral:rRNA from 1 species
GACGAACGCUGGCGGCGUGCUUAACACAUGCAAGUCGAACGGAAAGGCCCUGCUUUUGUGGGGUGCUCGAGUGGCGAACGGGUGAGUAACACGUGAGUAACCUGCCCUUGACUUUGGGAUAACAUCAGGAAACUGGGGCUAAUACCGGAUAGGAGCUCCUGCUGCAUGGUGGGGGUUGGAAAGUUUCGGCGGUUGGGGAUGGACUCGCGGCUUAUCAGCUUGUUGGUGGGGUAGUGGCUUACCAAGGCUUUGACGGGUAGCCGGCCUGAGAGGGUGACCGGCCACAUUGGGACUGAGAUACGGCCCAGACUCCUACGGGAGGCAGCAGUGGGGAAUAUUGCACAAUGGGCGGAAGCCUGAUGCAGCAACGCCGCGUGCGGGAUGACGGCCUUCGGGUUGUAAACCGCUUUCGCCUGUGACGAAGCGUGAGUGACGGUAAUGGGUGAAGAAGCACCGGCUAACUACGUG